GGUUGGUGGAGUGAUUUGUCUGCUUAAUUGCGUUAACGAACGAGAUCUCUGCUGAUAAAUAGAUGCUGCCUCCGUGUUGUAGGUCGGUGCUCCCGCAGGGCUUGCUCUGUGGUUGUUUCAUUGACUGAGGAGGCAGAAGUUUACUUAUUGGGAUUAUGCAUUCUUCUAAGUGCAUUGAGACGAGAGCCAAUAGCAGGUCU
rnacentral:rRNA from 1 species